rnacentral:lncRNA from 1 species
UGGGGACAAAAAUAAAAAGUUAUAAGACUUUUAAAUAUGUGGAUUUUACGGUUAUCUUUGGCGCCCCCUAGAACCUAAACCGUGGGGUGCAGCGUCAUGAUUUGAAUAACUUUUAAUGGCCAUGGGGUGUAGAUUGGCCUGAGAAAAUGUGGUGCCGGUGGAACGAAAGCCUUCGGAGGAGUUAGCGAAAUUCCAAUGUGUGCGGAUCUGCAAAAAAUUCGGAAUAACCCUUUAACCGUACAUUUGACAGAUACGCCUGCACUGACUUUUUUGUAGAUCUUAUUGAGAUACAUGUGUGUGUCAAUUUUUGUGUCAUUUUGCCAAAGCGUACAGGUGUUACACUCAACAAUGUGUAUUUUCACCUUAGGGGACAAGAAAAAAUGGACUUUUUUCUCCUGCCAUGGGGGGGCGCUCUUUUGGGGAGUAAAAAUUCCUUCACAAAUGUGUUGAUGGCUGGACAUUGCAUCAUCCUAGAAAACUUGGAGGCCAGUGAGGGCAAAAAUAAAAAGUUAUAAGACUUUUAAAUAUGUGGAUUUUAGUGUUAUCUUUGGCGCCCCCUAGAACCUAAACCGUGGGGUGCAGCGUCAUGAUUUGAAUAACUUUUAAUGGCCAUGGGGUGUAGAUUGGCCUGAGCAAAUGUGGUGCCGGUGGAACAAAGGCUUCGGAGGAGUUAGCGAAAUUCCAAUGUGUGCGGAUCGGCAAAAAAUGCGCAAUAACCCUUUAACCGUACAUUUGACAGAUACGCCAGCACUGACUUUUUUGUAGAUCUUAUUGAGAUACAUUUGUGUGUCAAUUUUUGUGUAAUUUUGACAAAGCGUACAGGCGUGACAGUCAAUAGUGUGAAUUUUCACCUUAUGGGACAAGAAAAAAUGGACUUUUUUCUCCUGCCAUGGGGGGGCGCUCUUUUGGGGAGUAAAAAUUCCUUCACAAAUGUGUUGAUGGCUGGACAUUGCAUCAUCCUAGAAAACUUGGAGGCCAGUGAGGGCAAAAAUAAAAGUUAUAAGACUUUGAAAUAUGUGGAUUUUAGGGUUAUCUUUGGCGCCCCCUAGAACCUAAACCGUGGGGUGCAGCGUCAUGAUUUGAAUAACUUUUAAUGGCCAUGGGGUGUAGAUUGGCCUGAGCAAAUGUGGUGCCGGUGGAACGAAAGCCUUCGGAGGAGUUAGCGAAAUUCCAAUGUGUGCGGAUCGGCAAAAAAUGCGCAAUAACCCUUUAACCGUACAUUUGACAGAUAUGCCCGCACUGACUUUUUUGUAGAUCUUAUUGAGAUACAUGUGUGUGUCAAUUUUUGUGUCAUUUUGACAUAGCGUACAGGCGUCAGGUGAAUUUUUCACCUUAGGGGGCGCUAUGGAGCCAUUUUGCAUUGUAUUGUUUGGGCGACUUCAGAAUAUCAAAUUUUUCACCAGGCCCGGUCGUCCUGCCAAAUUUCAUGAGUUUUCGCCAGUGUGAAGUGGGCCAUUUUCCAGUUCAAAGGGGAGGAAAAAGAAAAAAGAAACUAGGACCCCGUUGGGGCACUGGCGGGCCCGAGCCGUGUCGCGUCUCCCCCCCCCCACCCCCCCACCCCCCAACGUGCUGCCUCCCCGUCCCAUUUGUGUCCUCUGGCCAUCGCCCUCUCUGUUAACGCCCAUCACUGCAAAGACCCUUUUCCUUCAUCGGCGUUUGCUGUUCUUCCUGCCAGUGCGUGUUGCUUUCACUUACACUUGCCACAGCCAGCCUCGUGAGUGCCUAGCCUAUUGGAUAUCACUGUCACCUACACAGGACAGUCAUUACCUUUCUAUUAAUACUUUGUGUUUUAAUUUCACAUUAAUUUCCAUAUUGUAUAAACGACUGGAAAAAACUUGAGCCCCUGCCCCUGUAUAAUCAUGUGCAUGUCUCUGUUCUAGCUCCAAGGUGAAUCUUCACUGCUCAUGUUCUCCUCAGAAGCACUCACCUCACUCCCCUCAGGUUACUGUACACAUGCACCAACUGCCUGCUUCAGGUUUGGAUGGAGCUUCAUGGUUGUCUUUUGGAGAAAUGACCAGUCAAGUUGUGUUUGAAAUUUGAUUUUUUUCAGGGGCAAAAGGAGCCUCUGCAUUCUUGUCAAAUAUGUAAAUAGCAUGUUUUUGCAGGUGCUAAAAACCAGACUCUGAGUGUGUGUGUGUGUGUGUGUGUGUGUGUGUGUGUGUGUGUGUGUGUGUGUGUGUGUGUGUGGCGUGUGUGUGUGUCUAUGUGUGCGUUCAAGUCACAUGACAUAUUUAACCGGAUGUAGCUGCAAGACGGAGCCUCGUUGACUCUCCGUUUCAACUUAUCUCAAAAGUGAGGACCUCAACCUAUAUACCAGUUUUUAAAUUGUGUUGAUAGGCCAAAUAAAACCAGAGUUAUGAUAAAUUAUGUCCGCGAUACUUUUUUUCUGCUUAUUUUGAUCACGUUCGGCGCUCGAUCGCGCUGUAUGAGACAGGAAAACAUAGCAUGCAGACAUUAGCGACAGGUCUUACAGGCGGAAAAGGCUUGCCAAAAGAAAAAAAAAACACACCACAACAUCUCUCCUAUUGGUGGAAAACUUCACCACAACAACCAAUCCAAAAUUAUAUGGUGACUGAUUGACAAGGGGCGGGCGCUUACGUUCUUCCUGCAACAUGAGAAGGGAGGGAGGGACUCUCAGCAGGGAUGCAGUCUGGGACACGUAGUUGCAAACCUAGCGACUUUGUUGUUAGAUUCAAUGACUUUUCAGACACCCUAACGACUUUUUUAGAAAGAAAGGGACUUUUAUCGACUUCUUCUGGAGUUUAGAGACUCUGACAUGAAGCAGGCUUUCCUUACUGAGGAGUUAGCAACGCUGCUAAGGGUGCAGAGCCACACAUGCGCUCAGAGCUCUGCAUGGGAGACUGAAGCUGACAGAGCUGCAGCAGUUAGCAGGUUUCACCCUCAGAGACCACCAGGGGUUCAUGUUGAGGCAUUUUAAUUUUUUUUUUUUUUGUGCCAUAGACACUGUCAGCACAAUCUGCAGUUACACUAACAAAAAUGCUGCAAAAAACAAAUAAUUAUGGAAAAAUUACACAUGGACUGACAUAGAGGAGGAUCUACACAAGUUUUUUACAUCAUGUUUUACAUCAUGCAUCAUUUACAUCAUGUUUUUUUGUAGUGGCAUAAAUAAAAAGUGACAUUUGUGAGACUAUACAGUGUUUUGUAAAUAAUUUUACAAAGAACGCCUGGGCCAUUGCCUGCAUUUUGAUGUAAAUAGAGGUAAAUUACUAUGUUCUUUGUUAAAAAUUUGCAUAUGUUUUGAAGUUUACAAUUUUUAUUUGAAGUUUAAGUUUUAAAAACAGUUCAUCACACAUAUUUGUGGUUUAAUUUCACAUUAAUUUCCAUAUUGUAUAAAUGACUGGAAAAAUCUUGAGCCCCUGCCCCUGUAUAAUCAUGUGCACGUCCCUGUUCUAGCUCCAAGGUGAAUCUUCACUGCUCAUGUUCUCCUCAGAAAUAGUCACCUCACUCCCCUCAGGUUACUGUACACAUGCACCAACUAUCUGCUUCAGGUUUGAAAUGGAGCUUCAUGGUUGUCUUUUGGAGAAAUGAACAGUCAAGUUGUGUUUGAAAUUUGAUUUUUUUCAGGGGCAAAAGGAAGCCUCUGCAUUCUUGUCAAAUAUGUAAACAGCAUGUUUUUGCAGGUGCUAAAAAACAGACUCUGAGUGUGUGUGUGUGUCUGUGUGUGUGUGUGUGUGUGUGUGUGUGUGUGUGUGUAUGUUGGCGUGUGUGUAUAUGUGUGUGUAUCCUGCAGUACUCUGUACUCCUGCAGUGGCCAAAAAGACUUUUAAGAAUGUGGAUUUUUGGGUCAUCUUUGGCGCCCCCUAGAACUGCAGUACUCUGUACUCCUGCAGUGGCCAAAAUGACUUUUAAGAAUGUGGAUUUUUGGGUCAUCUUUGGCGCCCCCUAGAACGUAAACCGUGGGGUGCAGCGUCAUGAUUUUUACAACUUUGAAUGGGCAUGGGGUGUAGAUUGCCCUGAGCAAAUUUGGUAUCGGUGGGACGAAAGCCUUAGGAGGAGAUAGCCACAUUCCAAUGUGUGCGAAUCGGCAAAAAAUGCAAAAUAGCCCUUUAACCGUACAUUAUACAGAUACGCGCUCUUUGACUUUUUCGUAGAUCUAAUUGAGAUACACAUGAUUGUCAAUUUUUGUGUCAAUAUGACAAAGCGUUCAGGCGUGACACUCAACAAUGUGUAUUUUUAUGUAAGGGGACAAGAAAAAAUUGACUUUUUUCUCCUACCAUGGGGGGGCGCUCUUUUGGGGAGUAAAAAUUCCUUCACAAAUGUGUUGAUGGCUGGACAUUGCAUCAUCCUAGAAAACUUGGAGGCCAGUGAGGACAAAAAUAAAAAGUUAUAAAACAUUUAAGAAUGUGGAUUUUUGGGUUAUCUUUGGCGCCCCCUAGAACCUAAACCGUGGGGUGCAGCAUCAUGAUUUGAAUAACUUUUAAUGGCCAUGGGGUGUAGAUUGGCCUGAGCAAAUGUGGUGCCGGUGGAACGAAAGCCUUCGGAGGAGUUAGCGAAAUUCCAAUGUGUGCGUAUCGGCAAAAAAUGCGGAAUAACCCUUUAACUGUACAUUUGACAGAUACGCGCGCAUGGACUUUUUUGUAGAUCUUAUUGAGUUACAUGUGUGUGUCAAUUUUUGUGUCAUUUUGACAAAGCGUAUAGGCGUGACACUCAACAAUGUGUAUUUUCACCUUAGGGGACAAGAAAAAAUGGACUUUUUUCUCCUGCCAUGGGGGGGCGCUCUUUUGGGGAGUAAAAAUUCCUUCACAAAUGUGUUGAUGGCUGGACAUUGCAUCAUCCUAGAAAACUUGGAGGCCAGUGAGGACAAAAAUAAAAAGUUAUAAGACUUUUAAAUAUGUGGAUUUUAGUGUUAUCUUUGGCGCCCCCUAGAACCUAAACCUUGGGGUGCAGCGUCAUGAUUUUGAUAACUUUUAAUGGCCACGGGGUGUAGAUUGGCCUGAGCAAAUGUGGUGCUGGUGGAACGAAAGCCUUCGGAGGAGUUAGCGAAAUUCCAAUGUGUGCGGAUCGGCAAAAAAUGCGAAAUAACCCUUUAACCGUAAUUUUGACAGAUACGGCCGCACUGACUUUUUUGUAGAUCUUAUUGAGAUACAUAUGUGUGUCAAUUUUUGUGUCAAUAUGACAAAGCGUACAGGCGUGACAGUCAAUAGUGUGAAUUUCCACCUUAGGGGGCGCUAUGGAGCCAUUUUGCAUUUUAAUGUUUGGGCGACUUCAGAAUAUCAAAUUUUUCACCAGGCCCGGUCGUCCUGCCAAAUUUCAUGAGUUUUCGCCAGUGGGAAGUGGGCCAUUUUCCAGUUCAAAGGGGAGGAAAAAGAAGAAAGAAAGAAAGAAAAAGAAAGAAACAAAGAAAAACCACUUGGGGAAUAAUAGGGCCUACGCCCGGCUGCUCUGCAGCUGGCUCGGGCCCUAACAAAGAAAAACCACUUGGGGAAUAAUAGGGCUCUCGCAGCUGCUUAGCAGCUACGCUCGGGCCCUAACUAGGACCCCGUUGGGGCACUGGCGGGCCCGAGCCGUGUCGCGUCUCCCCCCCCCCCCCCCCCAACAUGCUGCCUCCCCGUCCCAUUUGUGUCCUCUGGCCAUCGCCCUCUCUGUUAACGCCCAUCACUGCAAAGACCCUUUUCCUUCAUCGGCGUUUGCUGUUCUUCCUGCCAGUGCGUGUUGCUUUCACUUACACUUGCCACAGCCAGCCUCGUGAGUGCCUAGCCUAUUGGAUAUCACUGUCACCUACACAGGACAGUCAUUACCUUUCUAUUAAUACUUUGUGUUUUAAUUUCACAUUAAUUUCCAUAUUGUAUAAACGACUGGAAAAAACUUGAGCCCCUGCCCCUGUAUAAUCAUGUGCAUGUCUCUGUUCUAGCUCCAAGGUGAAUCUUCACUGCUCAUGUUCUCCUCAGAAGCAGUCACCUCACUCCCCUCAGGUUACUGUACACAUGCACCAACUGCCUGCUUCAGGUUUGGAUGGAGCUUCAUGGUUGUCUUUUGGAGAAAUGACCAGUCAAGUUGUGUUUGAAAUUUGAUUUUUUUCAGGGGUAAAAGGAGCCUCUGCAUUCUUGUCAAAUAUGUAAAUAGCAUGUUUUUGCAGGUGCUAAAAACCAGACUCUGAGUGUGUGUGUGUGUGUGUGUGUGUGUGUGUGUGUGUGUGUGUGUGUGUGUGUGUGUGUGUGUGUGCGUGUGUGUGUGUCUGUGUGUGCGUUCAAGUCACAUGACAUAUUUAACCGGAUGUAGCUGCAAGACGGAGCCUCGUUGACUCUCCGUUUCAACUUAUCUCAAAAGUGAGGACCUCAACCUAUAUACCAGUUUUUAAAUUGUGUUGAUAGGCCAAAUAAAACCAGAGUUAUGAUAAAUUAUGUCCGCGAUACUUUUUUUCUGCUUAUUUUGAUCACGUUCGGCGCUCGAUCGCGCUGUAUGAGACAGGAAAACAUAGCAUGCAGACAUUAGCGACAGGUCUUACAGGCGGAAAAGGCUUGCCAAAAGAAAAAAAAAACACACCACAACAUCUCUCCUAUUGGUGGAAAACUUCACCACAACAACCAAUCCAAAAUUAUAUGGUGACUGAUUGACAAGGGGCGGGCGCUUACGUUCUUCCUGCAACAUGAGAAGGGAGGGAGGGACUCUCAGCAGGGAUGCAGUCUGGGAC